GCAAACUUGGUCAUUUAGAGGAAGUAAAAGUCGUAACAAGGUUUCCGUAGGUGAACCUGCGGAAGGAUCAUUACUGAGGUACGGGCUUCGGCUCGAACCCCCCACCCUUUGUUGAUUUGCCUUGUUGCUUCGGCGGGCCGUCGGUCCCCGCCCCCGGCUACGGCUGGGGUGUGCCCGCCGAAGGACCGCAUGAAACGCAGUGAAGAACAAAAAGUCCGAGUCCACAAUGAAUCAGUCAAAACUUUCAACAACGGAUCUCUUGGUUCUGGCAUCGAUGAAGAACGCAGC
rnacentral:misc_RNA from 1 species